UCGUUAUCAAGAAAGGUUGAGGGAAUAGACCCGUUGAAACCUUGGCAACCCUCCUGUAAUGGGAGAAGGUGCUACAUUCUACUUCGCUUCUUUGGCGCAGAUAGAUAACAA
rnacentral:ncRNA from 1 species